rnacentral:rRNA from 1 species
AACGUAGGAGACAAACGUUAUCCGGAGUUACUGGGCGUAAAGGGCGUGUAGGUGGUUUCGUAAGUCUGGCGUGAAAUUUCUCGGCUUAACCGAGGCAGGUCGUCGGAUACUGCGGAACUUGAGGACGGUAGAGGCGUGUGGAAUUCCGGGUGUAGUGGUGAAAUGCGUAGAGAUCCGGAGGAACACCAGUGGCGAAGGCGGCUCUCUGGACCAGCACUGACACUGAGGCACGAAAGCGUGGGGAGCAAACAGG